rnacentral:piRNA from 1 species
UCCCAAGUUUAAGAGUGAGAUCUGGUUGUC